rnacentral:tRNA from 1 species
GCCUGGGUGGCUCAGUCGGUUGAGCGUCCGACUUCAGCUCAGGUCAUGAUCUCGCAUCGCAGUUUGUGAGUUUGAGUCUCACCUUGGGCC